rnacentral:rRNA from 1 species
AGCGUAGACGGUGUGGCAAGUCUGAUGUGAAAACCCGGGGCUCAACCCCGGGACUGCAUUGGAAACUGUCAAUCUAGAGUACCGGAGAGGUAAGCGGAAUUCCUAGUGUAGCGGUGAAAUGCGUAGAUAUUAGGAGGAACACCAGUGGCGAAGGCGGCUUACUGGACGGUAACUGACGUUGAGGCUCGAAAGCGUGGGGAGGCAAAACA